GUGGUGGCUGAGCUGGUAAAGUGCUUGCUUUGCAAGCAUGAGAACAUGAGUUCAAUUCCCAGCACAUACA
rnacentral:tRNA from 1 species